rnacentral:tRNA from 1 species
ACAAUGGUGGUACAGUGGUAGAAUUCUAGCCUUCUGUGUGGGAGACCUGGGUUCAAUUUCCAGCCAAUGUA